rnacentral:rRNA from 1 species
AAGCUCGUAGUUGAAUUUCGGGAUCAAUAUGUUGGUCGUGCCAUUGGUACGCACUGGCAUUAUUGGUUUCUACCUUCUGAAGAACCUCGAUGUUAUUAAUUUGGUGUCUUGGGGAAUCAGGACUGUUACUUUGAAAAAAUUAGAGUGUUUAAAGCAAGCUCGCGCUUGAAUACAUUAGCAUGGAAUAAUGAAAUAGGACGUUUGAUUCUAUUUUGUUGGUUCUAGGAUCGACGUAAUGAUUAAUAGGGAUAGUUGGG